UUAUUUCAAAAUUACGAUAUUAUAUUACACGGUGGUAAACACACGCUGUACGAUUAAAUAGAAAAUCAACGCGUUGGCAAUCUCGACGAGAGAUCUUGCAAGCUCGAGGUAAAAUCGAAAAGUAGAAAGAAACGACGGCGAAAAGAGAAGACGUUGGCGAGGAAUGAAAGCAGAGUGAGGAACCACGAAAGACAAGUAUCAGGAAGAGAGGCCGGGUUUUGCAGCGUAGGAGCAACGGCUAGAGGCGAACAAGGAAGCCGUGGGGAGGUCGUAGGAAGGCAUAACGAGGAAGAAAGAAUUGAACAAGAACGGUAGGUGCAUAAAUGAAAAGCAAUGCGAUGCAUCGGAGUGCGCAUAUGGCCGACGAGUUAUACAUAUCUGGAUCCGCGCGUUUAAUUGCUUACAAUGGACCACCCGUUCGAUGCAAACCGCUUACUCGGUUGA